rnacentral:rRNA from 1 species
CCUACGGGGGCAGCAGUGGGGAAUAUUGGACAAUGGGCGAAAGCCUGAUCCAGCAAUGCCGCGUGAGUGAUGAAGGCCUUAGGGUUGUAAAGCUCUUUUACCAGGGAUGAUAAUGACAGUACCUGGAGAAUAAGCUCCGGCUAACUCCGUGCCAGCAGCCGCGGUAAUACGGAGGGAGCUAGCGUUGUUCGGAAUUACUGGGCGUAAAGCGUACGUAGGCGGUUAUUCAAGUCAGAGGUGAAAGCCUGGAGCUCAACUCCAGAACUGCCUUUGAAACUAGAUAGCUAGAAUCUUGGAGAGGUGAGUGGAAUUCCGAGUGUAGAGGUGAAAUUCGUAGAUAUUCGGAAGAACACCAGUGGCGAAGGCGACUCACUGGACAAGUAUUGACGCUGAGGUACGAAAGCGUGGGGAGCAAACAGGAUUAGAUACCCUGGUAGUCCACGCCGUAAACGAUGAUAACUAGCUGUUCGGGCUCUACGAGCUUGAGUGGCGCAGCUAACGCAUUAAGUUAUCCGCCUGGGGAUACGGUCGCAAGAUUAAAACUCAAAGGAUUGACGG